GGACCUCAGCAGGUCGGCGACGGGUCGCUCCGGGAAGAGGGGCGGCCUAGCCGGCGUAUUGCAAGCUGGUUGCGCGUGGGGAUAAACACUUUGCAGACGACUUAGUCGCGUCUCCCGGUCGUGUGCGUGGACGAGUAGCCUUUGUUGCUACGAGCCACUGAUCGUAAUCCGGCGAGGCCUCUGUUUGU
rnacentral:ncRNA from 1 species